AAAUUGAAGAGUUUGAUCAUGGCUCAGAUUGAACGCUGGCGGCAGGCCUAACACAUGCAAGUCGAACGGUAACAGGAAGCAGCUUGCUGCUUUGCUGACGAGUGGCGGACGGGUGAGUAAUGUCUGGGAAACUGCCUGAUGGAGGGGGAUAACUACUGGAAACGGUGGCUAAUACCGCAUAACGUCGCAAGACCAAAGAGGGGGACCUUCGGGCCUCUUGCCAUCAGAUGUGCCCAGAUGGGAUUAGCUAGUUGGUGAGGUAACGGCUCACCAAGGCGACGAUCCCUAGCUGGUCUGAGAGGAUGACCAGCCACACUGGAACUGAGACACGGUCCAGACUCCUACGGGAGGCAGCAGUGGGGAAUAUUGCACAAUGGGCGCAAGCCUGAUGCAGCCAUGCCGCGUGUAUGAAGAAGGCCUUAGGGUUGUAAAGUACUUUCAGCGGGGAGGAAGGUGUUGCGGUUAAUAACCGCAGCAAUUGACGUUACCCGCAGAAGAAGCACCGGCUAACUCCGUGCCAGCAGCCGCGGUAAUACGGAGGGUGCAAGCGUUAAUCGGAAUUACUGGGCGUAAAGCGCACGCAGG
rnacentral:rRNA from 1 species